GGCAGCUCUAAUGGAGUUCAAGGGUCUGUCUCUUGAAGAAGCAGCAGCCUAUGUUGUCGAAAGUGUUCCCAAAGGCAAUGUCGGUUUGGUCGCCGUAUCUGCCUCCGGCGAAGUUGCCAUGCCUUAUAAUACGACUGGAAUGUUUCGAGCUUGUGCAACUGAAGAUGGUUAUUCAGAGAUUGCCAUAUGGUCUUCUAAACAUGACUGAAUCAAUGUUGUGAC
rnacentral:misc_RNA from 1 species